rnacentral:lncRNA from 1 species
CCCAGGAGAUGGACAAAAUGUGAAAGAAAGGAUUUCUAUGAAAAAAUGUCUGUGACAAUCCCCAACAGCUGACUCGGUGGUUUUUGUGGUGUUUUUUCCGUGGCAGGACGAGGCGGGGGCCGAGAAGGAGAACAGCUCGGUGCUGCAGCAGAGCAGCUCCCUGGCGGGCAGCAGGAACGGCGACGAGAACGUCAUCGACAACCCCUACCUGAGGCCCGUCAAGAAACCCAAAAUCCGCAGGAAGAAGUGAAGGAAACGGUUCCCGAAAUUCCCCUCAGGAGGGGUCUCUGGGCCCACUCCCACCCUGCUCUCCCUCUGCUCACUGCCCUGGGCCAGGAGAACCCUUGGGAAUGGUCCGGGGGGCUUCGGGCUCUGCUCUGGGGGGAUUUCAUUGCUGAGGGGCUGAGAGAGCCAGGGCUUGGAGGGGCUGGGGGACACAGGGAUGGGAUUUGGAUUUAGAGGACACAGGAAUUGGAUUUGAAUUUGGAUUUGGAGGACACAGGGGUUGGGAUUGGGUUUGGAUUUGGAGGACCCAGCCUUUAUUUCCCCCCUUUAUUCCCUUUAUUAUUUCCUCCCUUUAUUCCCUUUAUUUCCCCCCUUUAUUUCCUCCCUUUAUUUCCCCCCUUUAUUUCCUGCCUUUAUUCCCUUUAUUUUCCCCCUUUAUUCCCUUUAUUUCCCCCCUUUAUUCCCUUUAUUUCCCCCUUUAUUUCCCCCCUUUAUUCCCUUUAUUUCCUUCAUUUAUUUCCUCCCUUUAUUUCCUUUAUUUCCCCCCUUUAUUUCCCCCUUUUAUUCCCUUUAUUCCCUUUAUUUCCCCCCUUUAUUUCCUCCCUUUAUUUCCUUUAUUUCCCCCCUUUAUUUCCUCCCUUUAUUUCCACAUCACUCUUGUCAUUAUUUGCUGCUUCUGGAGGGCUUUGCUUUCAUUUCCCUUCAGCAUUUUCUUAUAGAAAAUAAAGAAGAAAAAUCUUCUUCA